GUGCUCCCUUUGAUAGCACAUAUACUAAAAUUGGUACAAUAUAGAGAAGAUUAGCAUGGCCCCUGCGCAAGGAAGUCACAAAAAUUCAUGAAGCAUUCCAUAUUUUU
ensembl:snRNA U6 U6 spliceosomal RNA